rnacentral:rRNA from 1 species
CAGCAGCCACGGGAAUACGUAGGUGGCAAGCGUUGUCCGGAAUUAUUGGGCGUAAAGGGCUCGCAGGCGGUUUCUUAAGUCUGAUGUGAAAGCCCCCGGCUCAACCGGGGAGGGUCAUUGGAAACUGGGAAACUUGAGUGCAGAAGAGGAGAGUGGAAUUCCACGUGUAGCGGUGAAAUGCGUAGAGAUGUGGAGGAACACCAGUGGCGAAGGCGGCUCUCUGGACUGUAACUGACGCUGAGGCGCGAAAGCGUGGGGAGCAAACAGGAUUAGAUACCCCAGUAGUCCCUGUCUCUUAUAA